GCGACCCCAGGUCAGGCGGGGCUACCCGCUGAAUUUAAGCAUAUCAAUAAGCGGAGGA
rnacentral:rRNA from 2 species